rnacentral:rRNA from 1 species
GUGAGGAAUUUUCCGCAAUGGGCGAAAGCCUGACGGAGCAAUGCCGCGUGAAGGAUGAAGGCCUAUGGGUUGUAAACUUCUUUUCUCAGAAAAGAAUUAUGACGGUAUCUGAGGAAUAAGCAUCGGCUAACUCUGUGCCAGCAGCCGCGGUAAGACAGAGGAUGCAAGCGUUAUCCGGCAUGAUUGGGCGUAAAGCGUCUGUAGGUUGUUUAAAAAGUAUUCUGUCAAAGAUUAGGGCUUAACCCUAGAUAGGCAGAAUAAACUUUUAAGCUAGAGUUUGGUAGAGGCAGAGAGAAUUCCCGGUGGAGCGGUGAAAUGCGUAGAUAUCGGUAGGAACACCAAAGGCGAAGGCACUCUGCUGUGCCAAUACUAACACUGAGAGACGAAAGCGAGGGGAGCAAAUGGGAUUAGAAACCCCGGUAGUCC